UCAUGGCCCUGGGCUGUCUGUACGUUUACAGGCACUGUCGCUGCAAGAGAAUUUCCCAUGGAGCUCCAAACCGUGACCAUGUAACUUACACAAAACCAACGGAACAAGAAAGACAGAACGACGAAGGGAUGACGGAGGAAGACGAAGGGAUGUAGACACAGCUGUGCAGCUUACGACGUCAAGAAAACCACCAAAACGUGAUUGAUUGAAGGGGCAGCAGAGGAAGAUGUUUGAGUCAUCUUGAUUAGUUUGGGACAAUUUGAAACUUCGUGAUGGACGCGGGCUUGUUUGUAAAAAUUAGUUCGUGUCGCGACGGUGAAAAGGCCAUGCUGUGAUUCUAUGUACCAUUUGAUACUGUACGCAGCACAGCUUGCUGCGUACAGUAUCAACUCAUAGGUCAUGAUCUAGGUCGCAUGUCUUCUAGUGCAGCUUGCUUCAUUAUUAAAAAACGAUAACACGCAAUAUGAUGCUUGUAGAAGCGUCUUCGUAAUCCGCACUUUUUAAAAAGGUUAGUGAGACUGACCGCAAGUAUCAGUUCUAUGAAACAACCCGUCGUAUUUAACUGCUGCUCCUACGUUCUGAAAUACAUCAGUCUACCCUGCACACUUUAAAACGUUUAAAAUAGAUUCGCAACCUAACCUAAAUAACCUUAUCAUGCAUAAAAGCCCGAUAACUAGUCAAGUCGUCCUCCUUUCGUGUUCUCACAGCCCUAUAGUUUAGGAUAGUGAACUAUGAGUACUGUAGCACAGUCACAGUUCGAGGUUGUGCAAGAGCUAGUCAUAAACCGUUGCAGUAUAAGCAAGCUGUAACACCGGCAUUCCAGAACAGCCAAAUGACGUUGCCUUUGCAGCAAACCAUUACGAACGCAUGCCGUCCUCUCAAAGUGGAGUAUCCUUGACUCGCUGCCAAUUCAACCUGAAGGCUGUUUUCUUGCUCAUAUUUCAUGCCUGUCGAUUUGUCUGUCCUCAUUAUGACUUGGGCAUUCAUGUGCCUUAUUUAUGUAGGCAGCUCGCCUCAGUUAUUUUUUCUUAGUGUCAUUUGAAGCAUUCCGCUUGCGUACUUGGAGCUGCGCAAGAAGAUACGAAUUACUUCUACUUCGCUUGUAUAGGUCGCAUGUCUGUGCACUGUAAACAUUAGGGAGCUUUCG
rnacentral:lncRNA from 1 species